AUUGAACGCUGGCGGCAUGCUUUACACAUGCAAGUCGGACGAGUGGCGGACGGGUGAGUAAUGCAUCGGAACGUACCGGGUAGUGGGGGAUAACUGUUCGAAAGGACAGCUAAUACCGCAUACUAUUCGAGCGGCCGAUGUCUGAUUAGCUGGUUGGGGGGGUAAUGGCCCACCAAGGCGACGAUCCGUAGCGGGUCUGAGAGGAUGAUCCGCCACACUGGGACUGAGACACGGCCCAGACUCCUACGGGAGGCAGCAGUGGGGAAUUUUGGACAAUGGGCGCAAGCCUGAUCCAGCCAUGCCGCGUGUCUGAAGAAGGCCUUCGGGUUGUAAAGGACUUUUGUCAGGGAAGCGGUACCUGAAGAAGAAGCACCGGCUAACUACGUGCCAGCCGCCGCGGUAAUUC
rnacentral:rRNA from 1 species